rnacentral:rRNA from 1 species
CCUACGGGAGGCAGCAGUGAGGAAUAUUGGUCAAUGGACGAGAGUCUGAACCAGCCAAGUAGCGUGAAGGAUGACUGCCCUAUGGGUUGUAAACUUCUUUUAUAAAGGAAUAAAACGAGGCACGUGUGCCUUUUUGCAUGUACUUUAUGAAUAAGGAUCGGCUAACUCCGUGCCAGCAGCCGCGGUAAUACGGAGGAUCCGAGCGUUAUCCGGAUUUAUUGGGUUUAAAGGGAGCGUAGAUGGGUUGUUAAGUCAGUUGUGAAAGUUUGCGGCUCAACAGUAAAAUUGCAAUUGAUACUGGCAGUCGUGAGUACAGUUGAGGUAAGCGGAAUUCGUGGUGUAGCGGUGAAAUGCUUAGAUAUCACGAAGAACCCCGAUUGCGAAGGCAGCUUACUAAACUGUGACUGACAUUGAUGCUCGAAAGUGUGGGUAUCAAACAGGAUUAGAUACCCUGGUAGUC